rnacentral:rRNA from 1 species
CCUACGGGAGGCUGCAGUGGGGAAUUUUGCGCAAUGCUCGUAAGAGUGACGCAGCGACGCCGCGUGAAUGACGAAGGCCUUCGGGUCGUAAAGUUCUUUCGACAGGGAAGAAAAUGCCUAUAAGUAACUGUGUAUGUAUUGACGGUACCUGUAUAAGCAGCCCCGGCUAACUCCGCGCCAGCAGCCGCGGUAAUACGGAGGGGGCGAGCGUUGUUCGGAGUGACUGGGCGUAAAGAGCACGUAGGCGGUGUUGUAAGUCAUUAGUCAAAGACUAGAGCUCAACUUUAGUAAGGCUAGUGAUACUAUAAUACUAGAAUAUCAGAGAGGAUUGCAGAAUUCCUGGUGUAGCGGUGAAAUGCGUAGAUAUCAGGAGGAAUACCGUUAGCGAAGGCGGCAAUCUGGCUGGAAACUGACGCUGAGGUGCGAAAGCGUGGGUAGCAAACAGGAUUAGAUACCCCGGUAGUC